AAAGGCAAAACAAUAUAUACAAUCCUCUUGAAUAUAAGAGAGCCCAAUUGUGGAAACUGAUGGAAGUGAAGAUAGUGUCAGUUAUUGUUGGGGCCUUGGGGACAGUAUCAGAAGAUAAAAAGAAGAAUAUAAAGGGAAUGGGAAUAGGGUGCUCAAUAGAGCUGUGACAAAAAGUUUGCUUCCA